UUUGAACAGGUGUGAAAGAAAUCAUUAUAAAAAGCCUAUUCCAUUCUCCAUUUCUAUUCAGUAUUCCGAUCUUCAUCACGCAAGAUGAAAUUAUUGGCUAUUGUCCUUGUUGCCUUCGUCGUUGUUGCUCACGCAGAACCUGGCUGCAAAAAACCUGCUCCAGCACAACGUUACAGCUGCAAUGCAACGCAAUUAGAACAAUACUGUCCGCCUUGUCCACCUGGAUGCUUGCUUCAAUGCGGUUGCUUGUUUCCGGGCACUGGUGAGGAGAUCAGCCCUCGAUCAGUCUAUCCUCAACGGCCGGCUUAUUGUGGUGGUUGCGUCCAUUGUCUCGCUCUCAGAGUAUGCCCUGAUCCUCUAGAACCGUGUACAGCGGAAAUAAUUCGCGAUCUUAUCAAAGCUGGUGAAAUCGAUGACAAUGAAAAUUAAGUGAAAAUAAUUAAACGAAAUUUGAUUUCAAAUA